UAGGGAAUCUUGGACAAUGGGCGCAAGCCUGAUCCAGCCAUGCCGCGUGGGCGAGGAAGGUCUUCGGAUCGUAAAGCCCUUUUCUCGGGGAAGAACCGCUUCCGUAGGAAAUGACGGGAGUCUGACGGUACCCGAGGAAUAAGCAACGGCUAACUCAGGGCCAGCAGCCGCGGUAAUACGGAGGUUGCAAGCGUUGUUCGGAAUGACUGGGCGUAAAGGGAGCGCAGGCGGCUGUUUAAGUCUGGAGUGAAAGCCCGGGGCUCAACCCCGGCGGGUCUUCGGAUACUGGACAGCUAGAGUACGGAAGAGGAGAGCGGAAUUCCAGGUGUAGCGGUGAAAUGCGUAGAUAUCUGGAGGAACACCGGUGGCGAAAGCGGCUCUCUGGUCCGAUACUGACGCUCAGGCUCGAAAGCGUGGGGAGCAAACG
rnacentral:rRNA from 1 species